CCAGAAGCAAAAUGAUGAGCACUGCUGGCUGGAGCUCCAAAGAGGCACAUGUGUGUAUGUGGUUGUGUGUGUGGUUGUCUGUAUUCUUGUCUGUGCAUGCACACGUAUGCGAGGGAGCAUGAAUGUGUGUGUGGCUGGCGGUAGGGACUAGCUCUGUGCCUUCUGUUGGAUCAUGACAGUCGAACUGAUAAGAUCUGAUUGCUUC
rfam:Erinaceus europaeus unplaced genomic scaffold scaffold00912, whole genome shotgun sequence